CGUAGUCGGGCUCCGGCGGCGGGCCACGGGUUAGGCGCUGCAGCCCGGACGUUUGUAGUUGAGACACGUAGAGAGCAGAAAGUGAAGUUGGCUGCAAUGGCCAGAGCUGUGCCGAUCUGAAGCCAGGAGACAGGAGCUUCUUCCAGGUCUCCCAUGAAGGGGCCCAGCUGUUAUUGAGGUGGAUGUGACAGCUGUAUGCUUUAUUGGAGCCUAAAGCGGAAAGGGUGUGCAUGAUGAGCAGGAAGCUGGAAUCAGGAAUGGACAGACUUGAAUGCAGAAGCCAGUGCUGUGGCACAGUGGGCUAAGUCACCAUCUGUAGUGUCAGCAUCCCAUAUGGGCACUAGUUCAAGUCCCAUCCUGGCUGUUCCACUUCUGAUUCAGCUCCUUACUAAUGUGCCUGCAAGAACAAUAGAGGAUGGCCCAAGUGCUUGGGCCUCUGCAUUCACAUGGAGACUCAGAGAUUCUAUUCUAGCUUCUUGACAUAAAUUACUUAAUUAUAAAGCAACUAUAUG